UUUGUGCUCAAAGUACAAAUGAGAGUCGGUGGCUGUGAGCAUCCUGCCUGUCCUUGCGCGUACCCCCUGUUUACACAGCAGGAAGUAGGCUGGGAUCCACUGAGUCAUUUUGGGGGGUUGGGAGCUCGCGCUGAAUGCUCGGGCUUGCAAGUGGCAAUAUUUUCUAAUUUGCCCUUGCAAUGCAGGUAACUGGGAAGGUUGAAGAGGCGCUUCCCAGUAUCCACAAACAGGAUGACAAUGACAGUAAUUCUGGAAAAAAGUGCAGGUGCAAAGUCUGAAAUGAAAACAGAGCUGACACCAAGUUAGAAUCAUCAAGGUUGGAAAAGAACCAAGUUCAUCUAGACCAACCUUUGGCCACCAUGUUAACUAAACUAUAGCACUAAGUGUUAUAUCACUUCUCUGGACAGCCAGUUCUAAUGCUUUUUAACCCUUUUAGUCAAUAUAUGCUUCCUGCUGAAGAAUUCACCUUCAGUAUCCUUCACCCAGGAUCUCAAAAGUAUCUUAUUUCCCUAAGGCUCACAACAUCUUGUGUGGUACUAUUCCAUUUUAUAGAAGGGUAAACAGAUGCUGGCAACAUGACCAGCAAAGGCACAGAGGACAGUGAACUUCUCUAGCCCUUACACACAGCCCAAGCUGCAGCAAAGCCACCCUGUGCACUGUGCAGACAUGUUACCUGAAGUCAGGUGGGAGACCUUUUCUGGGGAGAGAGGCUUUUCUGGGAGAAGUACUUACUCUUCUCAUUGUUAUCUGUUCUACUUUGACUCCUUCCCUGUCCCGAUUUGUACCAAGUUGGGGCCAGCACUGAGCACAGUGCCUGCAAAUGGAUUCUGGUCUGCCUGCUUUAAUAUGGCUUUUCAUUGCCUGGGGGAGAUAGAUCCUAGCUUUUAUUCAGAUCCCGGAUAAUCCUGUGAUGCAGAAAGUGAGUGGGCAAAACUGGGAAUGAAAGCCAACGCAUGCCAAUGCUCAGGCCGUUUAUCAUCUGUCUUACAGCAAAGGACAAAAGUGGAGGUAGCGGAUGAAAAAUGAGGAGGGAGCCAAAGUAAACAACUUUAGAGAGGUAGGAGGUACAUGAAGAAGAGAACGGAUCAAUAGCUGCAAUGCCAGGUCAGGCUCACCCAGGGGAAAGUGCUCUCAAGGGACCAUACCCAGAGAAUGCAGAGGUCCUAAAACCAGGCCCCACCAUAAUAACAGCCUCAUCAGCUUUCAAAGGACAAGAGGUAAGAGUGGUAAGUUCAAUACUUGUACAGCAGCUCAAUAUAUCUAACCACAAGACUAUUGAAAUUAUUCUGCUUUUUUGGCAUGAUUGUGGACUAGAAGGACAUGGAAUUACUGAUCUUCCUAAUAAGAUUAAUUAAUUCUGAUAAAAAUAAAUUAUUUAUCCCUCACUGCCUGUUUUUCAUGGUUUAGGAAUGAUACUUCCCAAUUCAGUGCCCUCACCAAGACUCUCAAAACACAUGCCACUCUCACUCACUGCCCCAUUUUCCCAUCCCCCUCCCUGCUGCAGCGGGAUGGAGGGGAGAAUAAGAAGUGCAGAAGGCAAAGAUGACAGGCUGAGAUAAGAACAAUUUACUGGAAACAGCAAUGAGAUAAGAAAACGAACAGUAACAGCAACAAUGUAUGACAGAGGGUAUAAGAAGAGAAACUAUUCACACAGAAAAAAGCCUUCCCAAUAAUAGACAAUACUGGAUGGAUCCCAUCACCAUGUUUUCUCCACUGGAAGGAAUCCCUUCUCCCUGCAAGAGUCCCUUUUCCCAAACCCAGACAGUGAGGUGAGGUAAUAUAGAAUAACCUCUGUGUCCUAACCAUGCCCCUCCCAGCUAUGGCAAAAAAUUAACUCUGUCCUGGCUGGAACCAGGACACCCUUUUACAAGCUUGGUGGUGUUCAUAAUUAUUACCCAGAGUCUUUUAUCAUGCAGGAUAGUCUACCUUGCUAAAGAGCACCUGAUGGAGAGGGUGCAGAGCAGAUGGGCAAAUAGAUAGAGCAACUUCAUCAUGGUCCCUUCUUGCAUGGUAGCCUUUAUGAAGGAAGAAGCACACUUCUUUUUUUUUCUCCCCUUUUUCUCAGGGUAUAGCAAAGUGACAUUAAUCUGCCAUGAUUGAGAUAUCAGUUUGGUUAGCAGGCACGAAGCAACCUUAAGCAAAAGGGCAGAACAGCUUGAGAACUGUUGGUUGUUAGUGUUUGGUAACAACCUGAUCGAGAAGCCCUGAAGUGGUUCAAAUCACAGACUGCCUGCUAAGUGGUCUUCGGGGAGGCUGCUCUGCAUCUAAUCCUGCUGAGAGAAAUAUGAACGGGAGGAGACUGGAGAUCAAUGUAGGUGCCUUGUUAGGGAUAUUAACUACCUCACCUUCACUUCUAACUCCUGCAGCAUGACAACUCUAUUCCCAGAGGCCCAGAGGAUUCUGCUGGGGUCUGUAGCGAAGUCUGUUGAAAGCAGGAGAAUUGACAUUUUGCUUAUUGUCUCAACUGCUUUGACAUCUCACAGGCAGUACAAAUGAUCACUUAUGUAAAGGUUAUUUGAAUAAAGGUAACAUCCCUUGGUGUGACUUAACUGUGAAAGUAUUCCAGUUCCCUUUAGAAGUCCCUCUGAGAUUUCCAGUAUCCUAAAAUGUGCAUGUAUUUCUAAUUUGCCUGUAGGGUAAGAAAAAGCUGGAAUCUAAAGUCUGCAGAGCUUUUCUGAACUGGGAAAAUACACUGAAACUAGGAUUAUUCAAAAAGGCUCUUCCAGGGCUACAAACAAGACAUGAAACAUUUGUGUGUCAGAGAGCUGGGGUGGGAGCAGCCAGGGAGCUGCUGGAAUGAGUGCUCCUGCUCAAAGAGUUACUGGGUAAGUGAAGGAUUUGCUCUGCAGCAGGAGCAGAGCAAGGGCUGCCCACUCCCCAGUGUCAUGGGAAGAGUUUCUCCAGCAGUGUGGGAAAGGGGUGCUUUUGCGAGAAUUCAUAGAAUCACAGAAUCAGCUGGGUUGGAAGGGACCUCAGAGAUCAUCAAGUCCAACCCUUGAUCAACUAUCGCUGCAGUUACUAGACCAUGGCACUAAGUGCCACAUCCAGUCUCUUUUUAAAAAUCUCCAGGGAUGGAGAAUCCACUACUUCCUUGGCCAGCCCAUUCCAACGUCUGACCACCCCCUCUGUAAAGAAAUUCUUUCUAAUAUCUAACCUAAACCUACUCUGGCACAACUUGAGACCAUGCCCUCUUGUCUUGCUGAUAGUUGCCUGGGAAAAGAGACCAACCCCCACCUGGCUACAACCUCCUUUCAGGUAGUUGUAGAGAGUGAUGAGAGUUCAUGCAGCUUGAGCUCUCAUUUAGCUUUUCAGUCUUUGUGAGCGCUUGGGUUAUGUUCAGAGGGUUUUCUCAGCAGCUCCCCUUAGGACUAGAAAUGUUGGGAAGGGAGACAUGCUGGUUUGGUUUUUUUGAGCCAACAUUGUACAAUUUUAGAUGAAACUGUUUAACUUGAUGAAAUGAAGUUUUAAGAAGCACGAUCAAAUAUCUAGGCUCAAGAGAGAUCAUGAACCUGGUGCACAUGUUGGUUCAUGUGUUGAUUACAAAAUAGCCUAUGAAGAUGUAUCAUAUGAAAAUCAUGUGAGGGUCACAUUGUAGUUAUGUGAACAGAUUUCUUAUUGCUCCUUUCAAAAGAGUUUCUGCUGUGACACCGAAGUCUCACCAAUAUGUUGAAAAGAAGCCCAUAUUUGUGCAUUCUGUGCAAUGUAGCUGAAAAUCUUUGUACCUGAGUCAUAAUAUUCCUUAGGAAGCUUUUCUUACUAGGCCAUGGACCAGAAAUCCUGAUUUACUUUAAAGACAGUAAAACCUGAGCCUACUGCUGUUGCACAGAAAAAUUUUCAUUGCUCUGGAGGUGCUCACAAGGUUUCCAUCAGAAAGGUGCAACAUUUAUAUCACCUUUCACAACAGAAGAUCUACACUCUCUACUGACACAGAAAAGCCUAGUGUGGGGAAGAGAGCUGGUGAUUUUUUUUCUGUGUAUUUUAGUUGUAAGGUUUUGCUAGAGCUCUUUUUUAAAAUUAAAAUGCUGUACCAUAUAUACAUGAAGAACAUGAGCUGAUGCCAAGCUAUAACAGUCAAGCUAUAGCAGUCAUCUGGAAUUGCCUGUUGGAUUCCUGCUUGCGGUAAAUUAGUGUAUGAUGAUUUUUAUAACAAAUUAUGAAAUGCCAAGUAAUUAUUAAUUAUUGGACACUUCUUAUACAGUAUUGCCUAUCAAUGAGUGACUCCAUCUGGUCUGAAACUAUUGCAAAUACUCUAACGCAAGACUGUUUAAAAGAGUAAGAAUGACUUCAUAACAUGGAAAGUAAAAGCAUGGAAAAAUAGAAAAGAACAACUAUUUCCAACUUUCUUUUUUUUUUUUUUUUAAUUUGCUUGGUGCAAAGUUUCAGUGACAUUCCUGUUAGACUUUUCAGAGAUCUCUAAGGGACCGGCCCUCCAUGCAGAGCUGAUUGCAUGAAGUUGCUUGUGAUGCAGACUGCCUGCCCAUCCGUGUUCUUACCGACAGGUAGGUCCAUCUGCUGUCCAAGAGGAGUGGACUAGCAAUGAGAUAAGAAAUUGUUUUGCUCCCAUCGUCAUCAUUAACAGGCUUCUGUUAGACUUUCUGUGUUGAGGAAUUGUAAUUAUUGUUAGCACUGUUAAGAAUACUGACUGGGCAAUACUGACUGGCGCUGAAGUCGCAUUUAUUGACUUCUCUGACAGUCUUUACAGGAGCUUGACAUCAGGCCCAAUUUGUUUCUAAGUGUCCCCAAAAUUGGUAUGCUAGAUCAAUCCUCACCUUGCUUGCUGUAAAUUUCUUGCUUUUUGUCAUAUUUCAGCAUUUGCCCUCCAACAAGAGCAGGAGGGUUCCUUUGCUGGAUAUGUUAGCUGACCUCCCACAUACCAUCUUAAUUUCUUUCUAACAAGGCAUUUCAAAUGUAAAGUUGCAAUUUAGUUGCUGAGAGGCAUUUGAGCAUGCUUAGUGAUACCAGAAACAAGGAACUUUGCUGAUGUGCCUAUUUGUUACCAUAAUCCCACUGUUCAAGUGAAUGUGAUCGGCUGGCCCAGCUUCAUGCAAGAGUUGCUUAUACACAAAGCUAUGAGGCUUCCCAGGUUCUUUGUGUAAAUAUUUUCCGUUCCAAAUUGAAAAACAGGACUCCAUGUCUGAGUUGGAUCUCUCAAACAUCACUGAGUCAGUGUGGAUGAUUCCUCCACCUUUUGGGUUUCAUUGUGAUUUGUGUUUAAUGAUACACUUGUGGCUUUAGUUAAGAAAGGAUUUUCCUUCAGUUACACAUCUGCUAUUGACAGCCAGCUAAUCACAACAAUUUGAAAUCUUUGGGCCAGAAACACCACUGGUGUCAUUUCAGUUGACGUGUACUGAUUUCCUGAAGGCAGCUGAGGAUGUGGCAAGAUACACAGACCUGUCUUGCUACUUCUUUUACCUAUCGAUGGUUUGAGUGAUCAGCUUCUACUGAAAGGCCAGCUUUUUUUUUUUUCUUGGACCAUAGUAAAUCUGUAGUCCCUUUUCCCUCUUUGUUGGUUUUUCCCUCUUCUUAAUCAUGUGUGAUGUUUGUUUUGGUUUCGUUUUUUUGCUUCCUGUUUGUUUGUGAUCUGUUUUCUGAAUCUUCCUCUUAAUUCCCUGUUUUACUCAUUUCUCUGUACUUCCUGGAAAAAGUGUUUUGUUUUUUAUUCCUAGGCAACAUCUGACCAUCUCUUCUGUCCUUUUUGCUUGUCACCAUACUCCUUGCCAGAGUCAGCACAAUGAGAAACAAAUGUCUUGCUUGUCAGUGCUUUUUCCACUUCCGGCUGUUCAGACUGCAAGGGUUAAUUCUCACUCAAAAUUCAGUCACAAGAACCCUAAAGAGGGAUUUUUCACACUUGCCAAAAUAUCCUUCCUCCAUUAAAACUCCUUUUGAAAUAAAAUUAUGAGAUUUAAGUCUAACCAUGCCCAGGUGAGUAAUCAAAAGAAUUUUCUCUAUUACUCCCCGGAAGUGCUUUUGUUUUCCGCUGAACAAAACAAAUUUAUUUCUUGCCAGCCUCCAGCUGUCUGAGAAGCAAAUCACAGCAAUUAACAGGUAAGACUGAUAUUCUGCAACUCGGUUGCCACUUGACUGCAGGAUUUCAUCAGCACUUAGCUGCUUUUUUCACUUCCUUGGGGUAAUGUUUCUGAUGGUAAUCACCUCAUCUAUCAAUUACAGUGGGUGUCUUCUCAGCCAGGGUUGGGACUUUGCAAACUCUCGUCACUGUGAAUAGUCACACUCACACCAAGAGAAGGUAUGUCUGGUGUUUUAGGAGAGCAAGAAAAAUGCAGAAAUUUGGUAUGGAGCAUUUCUACCACCAAAGGAAUGACAGACAGAGGAAGAACUGAAUGGAGAAACACGUCCAGGGAAUCAGGGAAACAGGGAAACAUAGGGAUCAGGGAAAUGGCAAGUUUACUUUUGAGUUGCCUAUUGAGGCAACUUCCAACAACCCUGGCCUUUGCCCAGGACAAUCCGCCCACUUAAAGUUUUCUGCAUGUAAUUUUUCAUGCUGCAAAAUGAUCAGGGAGUCAGAUGAGGCCAAGUGCAGCUCAUUUAGAUUUGUAUAGCUAAUUUAAAUAAACUCAGUGGUUGUCUGUACACCAGAAGAAAAAAAUAAUUUUAUUUCAUGGCAGUUUUGUGUCAGUAGGACUGAUAUUUUUCCAAGUUCUAUUUGCACACAGCUGUCUCAGCUGUCCUGAGGACCUGUGACCACCUUUACUCUCAUAGCAGAUAGGAGCUCACAGUCCCUAAGAAACUCAUUGGUUCAGUUUUUGGCUUGAAGGUAAGAUGACAUAUUCCAAGGAAAGAUCCAGACUUUCAGCAGAUGCAACUAGUGAGUAAUAGCUAUUCUAGAGCCUAUCAUGCACGAAUCCUGGCUUUCUGCUAGAAGUAACUGUUUUUAUGUAUAUAUUUUUUGUUUGAAUCCUUGGCACCCAGGGACUGACUGGAUUCUGUCGUAUCCCAGAAAGCAAGAAGAAAAGGGAGAAUUUAGCAGUUUUCUCUCACUAACAAACCAUGCUUUUGUUGAUUUAUUGUUUAUUUUGCUUCUACUUUAAAAUGUGGUGCUUAAGAACUGUAUUUUAAUUGCAAAUGAAAGAAACAUAGCCUUCUUGCUUCCGUGGGAUGAAUGCCUGCCUUCCAAGAAUGACUGAGAGGAGAAGGCUCUUUUGGCUUUCCCCUCAGAAACCCUGGGGAAGAUGAGGAGCGUGGACGAGCUCAGUAAUGCUGGGGCUCCGUUGGGCGGCCGGCGGGUGUUGUGACUCAGCCAGCGUGGGAGGCUCCCUGGCACCGGCGCUGUGGCUGUGUGGGUGGUGGAGAGGAGGCUUGUGAGAGUGCCGCGCCGUGUGGGAUCAUCCUGCAACAGUUCCUCUGAGCUGGGGUAUCUCGAGGAGCCAUUAAAAGCAGGCUGGGGCCACUACCCUGUGUACAGGAUUUCUCCAUAACACGUUUUCCCUUCCCCUCUCUGAGAUCCGUGUUUGUUGCCAUAGUGAGGGGACAUAGCUCAGACAGCAAAUGCUUGCUUUUAUUUGACAGAAGUCUAAACAAAAAUAAGGGCAGAACAGUCCUGCAUAGUCCUAGAGGGAACCCUUCUCUGCCUUCAGUGUUUGCCUCUCAUCCAGUGAAAAUUCAUGCUGUUGCACGGAACCGUGCUCAGGAUGGCACACUGCAACCUGCCUUGGGGAACCCCACUCAGGACUGGAGCUAUUGAGACGUAACAGGAAAAGGGACUACAAAAAGAAGAUACAGGAAUAGAGGAAAGGUAGUUCAUUUCCAGGAUGAGAAGUGUAGAUGGUGUGUGAAGAAAGAGAGUUCAAGAAGUGUUUGGACAACACUCCCAGGCACGUGGUGAGAUUUUUGGUGUGUCCUGCGCAGGGCCAGGAGUUGGAAUCGAUGAUCCCAGUGGGUCCCUUCCAACUCAGCAUAUUCUAUGGUUCUGUGAUAUCUGUACUGCUCACAAUAGCUGCAAUAGCAUGCUAUGGCCUCUCCGAGGUGGAGGAGAACAAUCCCAUAGCCAGGGAGGAAGGACAGGUUUCUCCCAGGACUCGAGCUAGCAGUGCUGCGUUUGUGGACCUCUGGAGUGCUCUAACAUAGAGCUUGUCUGUGGUGCCUGCAUAUCCUAGGGGUCUAAGAAAAAGCUUGUGUUUGAUUCGUGUGCCCUGCACAUCAGCAACUAGGUUUUCCUGUCUACCAAGAUAUUUCUACACAGUUUUUAAUCUAAAUACCAGUAGAUAUGCGUAUUAUCACUUACCUAGCUAUCUCUUUCUCUGUUCUUACACAGAGAAAGACUCAGAGGUGGGCUUUUGCUCACCUCUGUUAAAUGACCGUCUUUAUGACAGUGCCUUGAAGGGAAGCCCUUCAAGGAGAAAGAACAAGAGUGCUAGUAAGAAGAAACUCAGUCAAAUAUCUCCUAAAAAGAAAAACAUCCAGGUACAGAAGGCAUUGAUCAUGCUUCCUGUGUGAUCAAUGGGAGUUUUGCCAAUGACACAAAUGGGAGUGAAUUGGCAGGAAAGAGAAUGGGAAAUAUUUAUGGAGAAGUGCAUCAGCUUUGCAUGUAUAGAAGAAAAAGCAGCUACAUUAGCAACUGUCCCAUUAGAGAGUACUCAAGGGAAUCAAGAUUCAUUGCUUCUAUCUUCCAGGCAUUAACUGUAAGUUUUUACUCUAACUUCCAAUUAGAAGAUUUAAUUGGGCUGAGUCCCUUUAACCCCCUCCCUGUAUGCAAUGUAAUAGGCUCAAGACAGAAGUUAAGUUUAGAAGAAAUGAGAGAAGUCUCACACAGUAGAGUGUAUGAGGGUGUUCCUUCUUCAGAGACUGAGAUUCCUGCAAUCCCUCCCCAGCAAGUGCUCCCCAGCAAGGGCAGACCAAGAAGUGACACUGUCGUCAGUGUCUCCAGCUUGACAUGCAUUUAAACAUGACCUUCUCUGCUGCACAUACAGCAGACAAGGGGUAUCAGCCCUCAGCCAUCUCACUCAACCACAUCUUUGUCAUUACCAGGUUUGUGAAAAUUUUAUGAAGACUUACCAAGCACAAUGGGUGGGACAUUAAACGCAAUUUGCAAAUUUGGAGGCCCCUUCUGAAAACAGGAUCUCUGAUGGUAAAAGUUUGUGUGGGAAGAUACAGUAGCGUAAGUGGGAAUAGUCCAUGAUUUCUUGGGUUGGCAAGUGAAUAGUGAGUGCUCUUGAGGAUACUCCAGUGUGCUGAUUCCCUGCAGGACCUAAAACUGAUCCCUUGAAAGAGUGGAUUGGCAAUUGCAGCUGAAAGCAAAACUUACCAGAACACCAGAUACUGCAUUAGAUUUAAGCUUUCUGGAUUACCAGAAAGUUUUUCUGAUUAAAUAGAAGCAUAUUCCAUGACUCUACUAAUCAGCUAGGUUUCCAUAUGUGAUGUUAUCCUCUUCAUUAACCAGAUUUGUUCCUUCAUCUCAGUUCUCUAAAAUACCAACUUUGCUGAACUACUGAUUCUUACUUUCCAACAGCCAGUUAUGAAAAACUGUGGUUUUGAAAAUAUUGCUCUUCUGUGAGCAGUCUCAGCCUUCUGCAGUAAUGAUAUCCUAAAAUACUCCUGGAGAAAAAUGUCUACCCCUUUAUUACAGAAGCAGGUGCUCCUUUCAAUAGUAAAGGGACAGUUACUUACAUGGCACCCUUCUUUAUCAGUGACAUGGAAAAAUUAAGCAAUACUAAAAUAUGGUUGCAGCAAAGAUGUCUUCUGAUAUGUAAUUUUUUCCCUCUUUUAUGUAAAGAGCAUAUUUGUUUUUUACAUGAAAUAUAUUCUGAAUAUAGGAAAAGAAAUUGUUGCACCAGAAAAUAAUGCAGAGACACAAAUCAGAAUAAUAUGAAGAACUUGGUAACCAGAGGACUAAAACAGAUUAGGUAAUAAAAUGGGGUAAAAUGUAAUUGCACUUAAGGGAGAGUGAUGUAUCUUUUAAGGUAAACUGGGAAUUCAUAGGUUUGAAAUGAAAAAGGAGAAGAAAACUGGAGUGUGUCACUCAAUGACAGUGGUUGUAAGCAAUAAUUGUCAUGCAAUUGUGAAAAACACAAAUUUGAUGCUAGCAUAUGAAGCAUUUGCAGAAAAAAAAAAGAAAAGUAUAAAAGUCGUUGUACAAUAUAGAUUAUUGGAAAUAGUUCUGGCUAUCUGUGUGCUAGAAACAUGAAUUAAAAUUAGAAUUGGUGGAGGGAGUGAGGAUGGCCAGAGGAAUGAAGAUCAAAACAGUUGGUUGGUACAGCUUAGCAGACGGGCUGGGUGGAAACUGGGAGAACAUAUGAUUGUGCUCUAUAAAUGUGUAAAGGACAUAUGUAGUCAGAGUAAGACAAGCUAUAUAAGCAAAAGAAUCAUAUAAGCACAGAACAAAUAAAUACAUAUUUUAAGAGGGGAAAAUAGGAGAAGCCUGUUUCCAACUGCUGAUGAGAUUCUGGAACAGCCUCACGCAAGAGGUGGUUUCAGCAGUCUGAACACGGUGAGUUUAUGAGAAGUGCCUGAAGUUGCAGAAUAAAGGACGCAAGACUUAUCUUCCUAUUCCAGUUCAUAAACUGUGUUUCCUCACUUUCACAUACAAGUCAGCAAAGAAGAGACAACAAAGACUUACAAAAGGACAGGAACUUCCAACCAGCAGUCCUCACCCAUCCAUGUUUUCGAAAGAUGAACAGCCAUAGCCAGAUAACCAUGUGCAUGACCAUUGCAAUGGCUUUUCUUCAGACAGUGUGUAAAGAGUCACCGUCUGACACCAGGGAGUAAACUGUGUGAAUCACUGUCUUCCAGUUAAAUGUCAUCACUGCUGCAGUAUCUCAGGCAGCCACUUAUAGGAGGCAUCCUUGGUUGGGGCCCAGCAGCAGAAGCCUGUGCAGCAAAAAACAGACAGAGGGUCCUCCCUCUGCUGUACACAACAAAAUGCUGCAAAUGCAACAUUCAGUUGCUAAUGUGACAAACGACAAAUUCAAACUGUGUUUAACUGAUUCAAGCCUAUUAUGGAAAGUUUCUAGUCAAGGCAGCAAGUCCCUCUCUGGAACAAUUUCUGUCACAGAAGAAUCUAAGAACAGAAGUAAUAAAAAAUUAUUGGUUUAUAAUAAAAGAAUCAAAAUGUU